UACAGAGGGUGCAAGCGUUAAUCGGAAUUACUGGGCGUAAAGCGCAUGUAGGUGGUUACAUAAGUUUGAUGUGAAAGCCCCGGGCUUAACCUGGGAAUUGCGCUGAAGACUGUGUGACUAGAGUCGGACAGAGGGUCGUGGAAUUUCCGGUGUAGCGGUGAAAUGCGUAGAGAUCGGAAAGAACACCAGUGGCGAAGGCGGCGACCUGGGUCCAGACUGACACUGAGGUGCGAAAGCAUGGGGAGCAAACAGG
rnacentral:rRNA from 1 species